GAUGAACGCUAGCUACAGGCUUAACACAUGCAAGUCGAGGGGCAGCGACUAGGUAGCAAUACUGAGGUGGCGACCGGCGCACGGGUGCGUAACGCGUAUCCAACCUUCCCGUUACUCUUGGAUAGCCUUCCGAAAGGGAGAUUAAUACAAGAUGGUAUUCAAAUUCCGCAUGUUAUUUGAAUUAAAGAUUUAUCGGUAACGGAUGGGGAUGCGUGACAUUAGAUAGUAGGCGGGGUAACGGCCCACCUAGUCUACGAUGUCUAGGGGUUCUGAGAGGAAGGUCCCCACACUGGAACUGAGACACGGUCCAGACUCCUACGGGAGGCAGCAGUGAGGAAUAUUGGUCAAUGGUCGAGAGACUGAACCAGCCAUGCCGCGUGAAGGUCACGGCCCUAUGGGUCUUAAACUUCUUUUGCAAGGAGGCAAUAAGUACUCACGUGUGGGAUGAUGANAGACCUUGCGAAUAAGCAUCGGCUAACUCCGUGCCAGCAGCCG
rnacentral:rRNA from 1 species